GGACGGUAUUCUUUAGUUACAGAUUAAGUUAUCGGAGCCACAUGUUGCGCGAAAAGGUUGUCCUUGCUGCUGCGAAAGUGAACAAAGCUGUGAUGUAAGCUGCUGGUAAAUUCGGGUUGAUUGAGAGUUCCGGUGACGCGUUUGGGUUAUGGUUUCGCGAUUUGAGGAUAUGGGCGCAGAAGUUACGAAGAGCUUAUUUAAUUGUUGUUGUGAUGCU